AUAAAAUUAAUUUUUAGUUUAUUAUUAUUAAUUUAGUUAUUUUAAAUAUAAAUAAUAAUUAUAUCUUAGAUUAAGUAUUAAAAAUAUUUAAUUAAAAAAUGAUAAUUCAUUUAAUUUAAUAUAUAAUUUUAAAAAUUUAAUAAAAGUUAAAUAGAGAAAUUAAAGUAAUUUCAUGAAAAUAAAUUGUGCCAGCAUCAGCGGUUAAACGUUAUGAAAAAGUUAAUAUAAUUAAUUUAUAAUUAGAAAGUUUAAGAGAAUUUUAUAAGGAGAAUAAUAUUAAAUUGGUGAAAUAUAUUAAUAUUUAAUAAUUUAUAUUUAUAAUUUUUUAAAAAUUUAUUUUAUAUAAGUAAACUAGGAUUAGAUACCCUAUUAUAUUAUAAUGAUUGAAUAAAAAAAAUUGAAGAUUAAAUGUUAUACCAUUAAAUUUAAAAUUAUUGGCGGUAAUUUAUAGCAUUAGGGGAACUUGUGAAUUAAUAUGAUGGUCCACGAUCUGAAAAAUUUAUAUUAUUAUUUAUAUUAAAUUAUAAAUAAAUUUGCUGUAUUGUUGUUUUAAGAGUGUUUUAAUGAUUACACUUGAAUGUUAAAAUUUAAAUGAAAGUAAUUCAAAUCAAAGUGGUGAUAUUUAUAAAUUUUUAUGAGUUACAUUUUAAUUGUGUUAUAUAAAAUAUAUUAAAUUUAAUUUUAAUAUAAAUUAGGAUUUAAGUGUAAAUUUUAAAAUUUUUUGAAAUUGACUGUAUCUUAAAUUAUGUACAAACUGCCCGUCACUUUCAUUAAAAAUGGAAUAAGUCGUAACAAGGUAAAAUUACUGGAAAGUAA
rnacentral:rRNA from 1 species